rnacentral:SRP_RNA from 1 species
UGUUGGUCCCCUCGCAACGAUAGAUCGUGAACUCCGCCAGGCCCGGAAGGGAGCAACGGUAGCGAUUGAUUCGUGUGCCGGGGUGUGGCUGGUGGGG